rnacentral:rRNA from 1 species
GACGAACGCUGGCGGCGUGCCUAAUACAUGCAAGUAGAACGCUGAAGAGAGGAGCUUGCUCUUCUUGGAUGAGUUGCGAACGGGUGAGUAACGCGUAGGUAACCUGCCUUGUAGCGGGGGAUAACUAUUGGAAACGAUAGCUAAUACCGCAUAACAAUGGAUGACACAUGUCAUUUAUUUGAAAGGGGCAAUUGCUCAACUACAAGAUGGACCUGCGUUGUAUUAGCUAGUAGGUGAGGUAAUGGCUCACCUAGGCGACGAUACAUAGCCGACCUGAGAGGGUGAGCGGCCACACUGGGACUGAGACACGGCCCAGACGCCUACGGGAGGCAGCAGUAGGGAAUCUUCGGCAAUGGGGGCAACCCUGAACGAGCAACGCCGCGUGAGUGAAGAAGGGUUUCGGAUCGUAAAGCUCUGUUGUAAGUCAAGAACGGGUGUGAGAGUGGAAAGUUCACACUGUGACGGUAGCUGACCAGAAAGGGACGGCUAACUACGUG